rnacentral:rRNA from 1 species
AUUGAACGCUGGCGGCAUGCCUAACACAUGCAAGUCGAGCGAGCGGCGGACGGGUGAGUAAUGUCUGGGAAACUGCCUGAAGGAGGGGGAUAACUACUGGAAACGGUAGCUAAUACCGCAUACCAUCAGAUGUGCCCAGAUGUGACUAGCUGGUGGGUGGGUUAACGGAUCACCUAGGCGACGAUCCCUACCUGGUCUGAGAGGAUGACCAGCAACACUGGAACGGAGACACGGUCCAGAAUCCUACGGGAGGCAGCAGUGGGGAAUAUUGCACAGUGGGCGCAAGCCUGAUGCAGCCAUGCCGCGUGUGUGAAGCAGGCCUUCGGGUUGUAAAGCACUUUCAGCGGGGAGGCGUUACCCGCAGAAGAAGCACCGGCUAACUCCGUGCCAGCAGCCGCGGUAAUAC